CAGACUCCUACGGGAGGCAGCAGUGGGGAAUAUUGCACAAUGGGCGCAAGCCUGAUGCAGCGACGCCGCGUGGGGGAUGACGGCCUUCGGGUUGUAAACUCCUUUCGCUAGGGACGAAGCUUUUUGUGACGGUACCUAGAUAAGAAGCACCGGCUAACUACGUGCCAGCAGCCGCGGUAAUACGUAGGGUGCGAGCGUUGUCCGGAAUUACUGGGCGUAAAGGGCUCGUAGGUGGUUUGUCGCGUCGUCUGUGAAAUUCCGGGGCUUAACUCCGGGCGUGCAGGCGAUACGGGCAUAACUUGAGUGCUGUAGGGGAGACUGGAAUUCCUGGUGUAGCGGUGAAAUGCGCAGAUAUCAGGAGGAACACCGAUGGCGAAGGCAGGUUACUGGGCAGUUACUGACGCUGAGGAGCGAAAGCAUGGGUAGCGAACAGGAUUAGAUACCCUGGUAGUCCAUGCCGUAAACGUUGGGCACUAGGUGUGGGGCUCAUUCCACGAGUUCCGUGCCGCAGCAAACGCAUUAAGUGCCCCGCCUGGGGAGUACGGCCGCAAGGCUAAAACUCAAAGGAAUUGACGGGGGCCCGCACAAGCGGCGGAGCAUGUGGAUUAAUUCGAUGCAACGCGAAGAACCUUACCUGGGCUUGACAUACACCAGAUCGCUGCAGAGAUGUAGUUUCCCUUUGUGGCUGGUGUACAGGUGGUGCAUGGUUGUCGUCAGCUCGUGUCGUGAGAUGUUGGGUUAAGUCCCGCAACGAGCGCAACCCUCGUUCUAUGUUGCCAGCACGUGAUGGUGGGAACUCAUAGGAGACUGCCGGGGUCAACUCGGAGGAAGGUGGGGAUGACGUCAAAUCAUCAUGCCCCUUAUGUCCAGGGCUUCACACAUGCUACAAUGGUCGGUACAACGCGCAGCGACACUGUGAGGUGGAGCGAAUCGCUGAAAGCCGGCCUUAGUUCGGAUUGGGGUCUGCAACUCGACCCCAUGAAGUCGGAGUCGCUAGUAAUCGCAGAUCAGCAACGCUGCGGUGAAUACGUUCCCGGGCCUUGUACACACCG
rnacentral:rRNA from 1 species